rnacentral:rRNA from 1 species
UAUAAGCAAUUAUACCGUGAAACUGCGAAUGGCUCAUUAAAUCAGUUAACGUUUAUUUGAUAAUACCUUACUACUUGGAUAACCGUGGUAAUUCUAGAGCUAAUACAUGCUGAAAAUCCCGACUUCGGAAGGGAUGUGUUUAUUAGAUAAAAAACCAAUGCCCUUCGGGGCUUUUUGGUGAUUCAUGAUAACUUUACGGAUCGCAUAGCCUUGCGCUGGCGACGGUUCAUUCAAAUUUCUGCCCUAUCAACUUUCGAUGGUAAGGUAUUGGCUUACCAUGGUUUCAACGGGUAACGGGGAAUUAGGGUUCGAUUCCGGAGAGGGAGCCUGAGAAACGGCUACCACAUCCAAGGAAGGCAGCAGGCGCGCAAAUUACCCAAUCCCGACACGGGGAGGUAGUGACAAUAAAUACUGAUACAGGGCUCUUUUGGGUCUUGUAAUUGGAAUGAGUACAAUUUAAACCUCUUAACGAGGAACAAUUGGAGGGCAAGUCUGGUGCCAGCAGCCGCGGUAAUUCCAGCUCCAAUAGCGUAUAUUAAAGUUGUUGCAGUUAAAAAGCUCGUAGUUGAAACUUGGGUCUGGCUGGCNGGUCCGCCUCACCGCGUGCACUCGUCCGGCCGGGCCUUCCUUCUGAAGAACCUCAUGCCCUUUACUGGGCGUGUUGGGGAAUCAGGACUUUUACUUUGAAAAAAUUAGAGUGUUCAAAGCAGGCCUUUGCUCGAAUACGUUAGCAUGGAAUAAUAAAAUAGGGCGUGCGUUUCUAUUUUGUUGGUUUCUAGAGACGCCGCAAUGAUUAACAGGAACAGUCGGGGGCAUCAGUAUUCAGUUGUCAGAGGUGAAAUUCUUGGAUUUACUGAAGACUAACUACU